rnacentral:rRNA from 1 species
UAAGACGAACCGUGCUAACGUUGUUCGGAAUCACUGGGCUUAAAGGGCGCGUAGGCGGUGUGUUAAGUCGGCGGUGAAAUACUUCAGCUUAACUGAAGAAUUGCCGCUGAAACUGGCAUGCUAGAGGGAGGUAGAGGUGCGUGGAACUUCCGGUGGAGCGGUGAAAUGCGUUGAUAUCGGAAGGAACACCUGUGGCGAAAGCGUCGCACUGGACCUCUUCUGACGCUGAGGCGCGAAAGCUAGGGUAGCGAACGGGAUUAGAUACCCCGGUAGUCCUAGCCCUAAACGAUGGGUACUAGAGAGUAGAUGCUCCGAUGUGUUUACUCUCGAAGCAAAAGUGUUAAGUACCCCGCCUGGGGAGUAUGGUCGCAAGGCUG